rnacentral:rRNA from 1 species
UACGAAGGUGGCAAGCGUUGUUCGGAUUUACUGGGCGUAAAGGGAGCGUAGGUGGUUAGGUAAGCCCUCCGGGAAAUCUUCAGGCUUAACCUGAAAAGGUCGGGGGGGACUGCCUAGCUAGAGGGCGGGAGAGGAGCGCGGAAUUCCCGGUGUAGUGGUGAAAUGCGUAGAGAUCGGGAGGAACACCCGUGGCGAAGGCGGCUCGCUGGGCCGGUCCUGACGCUGAGACGCGAAGGCGUGGGGAGCGAACGGG